CCUACGGGAGGCAGCAGUGGGGAAUAUUGCACAAUGGGGGAAACCCUGAUGCAGCGACGCCGCGUGAGUGAAGAAGUAAUUCGGUAUGUAAAGCUCUAUCAGCAGGGAAGAAAAUGACGGUACCUGAGUAAGAAGCCCCGGCUAACGACGUGCCAGCAGCCGCGGUAAUACGUAGGGGGCAAGCGUUAUCCGGAUUUACUGGGUGUAAAGGGAGCGUAGACGGCAGUGCACGUCUGGAGUGAAAGGCGGGGGCUCAACCCCCGGACUGCUCUGGAAACGGUACGGCUGGAGUGCAGGAGAGUUCAGUGGUAUUCCUCUUGUCGCGGUGCACUGCGUAGAUAUUAGGAGGAACACCAGUGGCGACGGCGGCUUACUGGACUGUACCUGACGUUGAGGCUCGAAAGCGUGGGGAGCACACAGGAUUAGAUACCCCAGUAGUC
rnacentral:rRNA from 1 species